rnacentral:rRNA from 1 species
UGAGGAAUAUUGGUCAAUGGGCGCGAGCCUGAACCAGCCAAGUAGCGUGAAGGAUGAAGGUCCUAUGGAUUGUAAACUUCUUUUAUACGGGAAUAAAGUGGUCCACGUGUGGGCUUUUGCAUGUACCGUAUGAAUAAGCAUCGGCUAACUCCGUGCCAGCAGCCGCGGUAAUACGGAGGAUGCGAGCGUUAUCCGGAUUUAUUGGGUUUAAAGGGAGCGCAGACGGGGGAUUAAGUCAGUUGUGAAAGUUUGCGGCUCAACCGUAAAAUUGCAGUUGAUACUGGUUCCCUUGAGUGCAGUUGAGGCAGGCGGAAUUCGUGGUGUAGCGGUGAAAUGCAUAGAUAUCACGAAGAACCCCGAUUGCGAAGGCAGCCUGCUAAGCUGUAACUGACAUUGAUGCUCGAAAGUGUGGGUAUCAAACAGGAUUAGAUACCCUGGUAGUCCACACGGUAAACGAUGAAUACUCGCUGUAGGCGAUAUACAGUCUGCGGCCAAGCGAAAGCAUUAAGUAUUCCACCUGGGGAGUACGCCGGCAACGGUGAAACUCAAAGGAAUUGACGGGGGCCCGCACAAGCGGAGGAACAUGUGGUUUAAUUCGAUGAUACGCGAGGAACCUUACCCGGGCUUAAAUUGCAACCGAAUAUGGCGGAAACGCUAUAGCUAGCAAUAGCGGUUGUGAAGGUGCUGCAUGGUUGUCGUCAGCUCGUGCCGUGAGGUGUCGGCUUAAGUGCCAUAACGAGCGCAACCCUUGCCGAUAGUUACUAACAGGUUAUGCUGAGGACUCUGUCGGGACUGCCAUCGUAAGAUGUGAGGAAGGUGGGGAUGACGUCAAAUCAGCACGGCCCUUACGUCCGGGGCUACACACGUGUUACAAUGGGGGGUACAGAGGGCUGCUACCACGCAAGUGGAUGCCAAUCUCCAAAGCCUCUCUCAGUUCGGACUGGAGUCUGCAACCCGACUCCACGAAGCUGGAUUCGCUAGUAAUCGCGCAUCAGCCACGGCGCGGUGAAUACGUUCCC